UCCAAGGCUAAAUACUCCUGACUGACCGAUAGUGAACCAGUACCGUGAGGGAAAGGCGAAAAGAACCCCGGCGAGGGGAGUGAAAAAGAACCUGAAACCGUGUACGUACAAGCAGUGGGAGCCUCUUUAUGGGGUGACUGCGUACCUUUUGUAUAAUGGGUCAGCGACUUAUAUUCUGUAGCAAGGUUAACCGAAUAGGGGAGCCGAAGGGAAACCGAGUCUUAACUGGGCGUUAAGUUGCAGGGUAUAGACCCG
rnacentral:rRNA from 1 species